rnacentral:rRNA from 1 species
UACGGAGGGGGGUUAGCGUUGUUCGGAAUUACUGGGCGUAAAGCGCGCGUAGGCGGAUUAGAAGGUUGGGGGUGAAAUCCCGGGGCUCAACCUCGGAACUGCCUCCAAAACUGCUAGUCUAGAGUUCGAGAGAGGUGAGUGGAAUCCCGAGUGUAGAGGUGAAAUUCGUAGAUAUUCGGAGGAACACCAGUGGCGAAGGCGGCUCACUGGCUCGAUACUGACGCUGAGGUGCGAAAGUGUGGGGAGCAAACAGG